GACGAACGCUGGCGGCGUGCCUAAUACAUGCAAGUAGAACGCACAGUUUAUACCGUAGCUUGCUACACCAUAGACUGUGAGUUGCGAACGGGUGAGUAACGCGUAGGUAACCUGCCUGGUAGCGGGGGAUAACUAUUGGAAACGAUAGCUAAUACCGCAUAAUAUUAAUUAUUGCAUGGUAAUUAAUUGAAAGGUGCAAUUGCACCACUACCAGAUGGACCUGCGUUGUAUUAGCUAGUAGGUGAGGUAACGGCUCACCUAGGCGACGAUACAUAGCCGACCUGAGAGGGUGAUCGGCCACACUGGGACUGAGACACGGCCCAGACUCCUACGGGAGGCAGCAGUAGGGAAUCUUCGGCAAUGGACGAAAGUCUGACCGAGCAACGCCGCGUGAGUGAAGAAGGUUUUCGGAUCGUAAAGCUCUGUUGUAAGAGAAGAACGGGUGUGAGAGUGGAAAGUUCACACUGUGACGGUAUCUGACCAGAAGGGGACGGCUAACUACGUG
rnacentral:rRNA from 1 species